AUGAACAGUAAUAGGGCUCCUGGGUCGGAUAGCAUCCCAGACGAGUUCUACCAAUAUUGUUGGGAGAUAGUGAAGAAUGACAUUAUGUGUUUGUUUCAUGCUUUUCAUGAAGGGAGUUUGGAUGUAUAUAGGUUGAAUUACGGCAUUAUUAAUCUUCUCCCUAAAAUCUCUGGAGCAGAUAAGAUUCAACAAUUCAGACCAAUAUGUCUGUUGAGAUGUCCCUAUAAACUGAUUACAAAAGUUUUAUAUAAUAGAGUGGCCCUUUUUGCUGACAUUCUGUUUAGCAAACAUUAA
rnacentral:rRNA from 1 species